rnacentral:rRNA from 1 species
UCCGGUUGAUCCUGCCAGAGGUUACUGCUAUCGGAGUGUCGAUUAAGCCAUGCGAGUCUAAAGGUUUCUUCGGAAACCUUGGCGGACUGCUCAGUAACACGUGGAUAACCUACCCUUGGGACUGGGAUAACCCCGGGAAACUGGGGAUAAUACCGGAUAGAUCAGGGAUGCUGGAAUGCGCCUUGAUCCAAAGCUCCGGCGCCCAAGGAUGGGUCUGCGGCCUAUCAGGUUGUAGUGGGUGUAACGUACCUACUAGCCGACGACGGGUACGGGUUGUGAGAGCAAGAGCCCGGAGAUGGAUUCUGAGACACGAAUCCAGGCCCUACGGGGUGCAGCAGGCGCGAAACCUUUACAAUGUGCGAAAGCAUGAUAAGGGAACUCCGAGUGCCAGCAUCUAAUGCUGGCUGUCCUUGUGCCUAAAACGCACAAGAUAGCAAGGGCCGGGUAAGACCGGUGCCAGCCGCCGCGGUAACACCGGCGGCCCGAGUGGUAGCCGUUUUUAUUGGGUCUAAAGGGUCCGUAGCCGGCCUGAUAAGUCCUUUGGGAAAUCUGGCAGCUUAACUGUCAGGCUUCUAAGGGAUACUGUCAGGCUUGGGACCGGAAGAGGUAAGGGGUACUCCAGGGGUAGGAGUGAAAUCUUGUAAUCCCUGGGGGACCAUCUGUGGCGAAGGCGCCUUACCAGAACGGGUCCGACGGUGAGGGACGAAAGCUAGGGGAGCAAACCGGAUUAGAUACCCGGGUAGUCCUAGCUGUAAACGAUGCUCGCUAGGUGUCAGACACGGUGCGACCGUGUUUGGUGCCGCAGGGAAGCCGUUAAGCGAGCCACCUGGGAAGUACGGUCGCAAGGCUGAAACCUUAAAGGAAUUGGCGGGGGAGCACUACAACGGGUGGAGCCUGCGGUUUACAUUGGAGUCACACGCCGGG